rnacentral:tRNA from 1 species
GGCACGGUGGCAUAGUGGUUAGCACUGUUGCACUCGCAAGGAGGAGGUGCCGAGUUCGAAUCCGGGUCCUUCCG